rnacentral:lncRNA from 1 species
GUCCCACCUCCCUCCCUUGAGCCAGUAGCUCCUCCCACUUCCCGUGGUUUUCGGUUGAACCGAAACCUGGCCGUUGGCUGAGCGAGCGCGGGGUGUUUGGGAUGCGGCACGGCGAGGGGGAGCAGGCUUGGCUCGGGCGUAGGGAAUUGGUUUUUUUGUUUUAGCUAUCCAGGUUGUGACUGGUUUACAUAAUUACACGAUUAAGCCAUCAUUGUAGGAAAGGCUUUGCAGGAGAAAAAUGUCUUAACUGGAGGUCUUUGAGACAGAAAAACCCUGCCUCAGCCCUUGGGUCCUGAGAGUCGCGUUUCUUCUCCCCUUCGCUUAAAUAUGUAAACCAGAAUCAUUAUGUUUGGUUCAUGGAACGGAGGAAAAAAAUCCGUGUGCAGGGUCGAGACUGUCGUGGCGGAAGCCGCAGCACCCGGGAGGCAGGAAAAGGAAACCUGGACACAGGCACGUAUGAGGGAAGACAAUGUGGAGAGGCAAGGAGAAGAUGGCCACCUGCAAGCCAAGGAGAGAGGCCUGGAACACACUCUUACUUCAUGGCCCUCAGAAGGAGGCCACCCUGUCAACACCUUGAGCUCAGACUUCAGCCUCCAGAGCUGUGAAAAAAGAAAUUUUUGUUGUUUAAGCCCCUCAGUUUGGGGUAAUUUCUUAUGGUGGCCCUAGCCAAUGAAUACAGGUCCCAAAUAACUCUUCA